CCUACGGGUGGCAGCAGUGGGGAAUAUUGGACAAUGGGGGCAACCCUGAUCCAGCCAUGCCGCGUGUGUGAAGAAGGCCCUCGGGUUGUAAAGCACUUUCAGUGAGGAAGAACGCCUGGUGGUUAAUACCCAUCAGGAAAGACAUCACUCACAGAAGAAGCACCGGCUAACUCCGUGCCAGCAGCCGCGGUAAUACGGAGGGUGUGAGCGUUAAUCGGAAUUACUGGGCGUAAAGCGCGCGUAGGUGGCUUGAUAAGCCGGUUGUGAAAGCCCCGGGCUCAACCUGGGAACGGCAUCCGGAACUGUCAAGCUUGAGUGCAGGAGAGGAAGGUAGAAUUCCCGGUGUAGCGGUGAAAUGCGUAGAGAUCGGGAGGAAUACCAGUGGCGAAGGCGGCCUUCUGGACUGACACUGACACUGAGGUGCGAAAGCGUGGGUAGCAAACAGGAUUAGAUACCCUGGUAGUC
rnacentral:rRNA from 1 species